rnacentral:rRNA from 1 species
UAAUGGCCUACCAAGGCGACGACGGGUAGCCGGCCUGAGAGGGUGACCGGCCACACUGGGACUGAGACACGGCCCAGACUCCUACGGGAGGCAGCAGUGGGGAAUAUUGCACAAUGGGCGCAAGCCUGAUGCAGCGACGCCGCGUGAGGGAUGAAGGCCUUCGGGUUGUAAACCUCUUUCAGUAGGGAAGAAGCCGGCCUUUUGGGUUGGUGACGGUACCUGCAGAAGAGGCGCCGGCUAACUACGUGCCAGCAGCCGCGGUAAUACGUAGGGCGCAAGCGUUAUCCGGAAUUAUUGGGCGUAAAGAGCUCGUAGGCGGUUUGUCGCGUCUGCCGUGAAAGUCCGGGGCUUAACCCCGGAUCUGCGGUGGGUACGGGCAGACUAGAGUGCAGUAGGGGAGACUGGAAUUCCUGGUGUAGCGGUGAAAUGCGCAGAUAUCAGGAGGAACACCGAUGGCGAAGGCAGGUCUCUGGGCUGUAACUGACGCUGAGGAGCGAAAGCAUGGGGAGCGAACAGGAUUAGAUACCCUGGUAGUCCAUGCCGUAAACGUUGGGCACUAGGUGUGGGGGACAUUCCACGUUUUCCGCGCCGUAGCUAACGCAUUAAGUG